rnacentral:rRNA from 1 species
UGGGGAAUAUUGCACAAUGGAGGGAACUCUGAUGCAGCAACGCCGCGUGAAGGAAGAAGGUUUUCGGAUCGUAAACUUCUAUCAACAGGGAAGAAAAAAAUGACGGUACCUGAAUAAGAAGCCCCGGCUAACUACGUGCCAGCAGCCGCGGUAAUACGGAGGAUCCGAGCGUUAUCCGGAUUUAUUGGGUUUAAAGGGUGCGUAGGUGGUCUUUUAAGUCAGCGGUGAAAGUUUGUGGCUCAACCAUAAAAUUGCCGUUGAAACUGGAAGACUUGAGUAUAUUUGAGGUAAGCGGAAUGCGUGGUGUAGCGGUGAAAUGCGUAGAUAUUAGGAGGAACACCAGUGGCGAAGGCGGCUUCCUGGACUGUAACUGACACUGAGGCUCGAAAGCUAGGGUAGCGAACG